UACGUAGGGUGCGAGCGUUGUCCGGAAUUAUUUGGGCGUAAAGAGCUUGUAGGCGGUUUUGUCGCGUCUGCUGUGAAAUUUUCGGGGCUCAACCCCGAACUUGCAGUGGGUACGGGCAGACUAGAGUGUGGUAGGGGAGACUGGAAUUCCUGGUGUAGCGGUGAAAUGCGCAGAUAUCAGGAGGAACACCUGCGGCGAAGGCGGGUGCUGGGCUGACACUGACGCUGAUGCGCGAAAGCCAGGGGAGCGAACGGG
rnacentral:rRNA from 1 species